AUGACCGCGCGCGCGUCUCUCCUCGCGUUAAACGACAACGGGAGCCUCCAAACGGAUUUACGAGAGAAAACACUGUUGAUUCCUGCGUCCGCGGACGGAGCUGCUCCGGGGAAAUGCAGAGACACGGAGGCGAGCGUCAGCAGCGAUAGAACGCGCAGGUGGGAUGUCGUGAAUCUGUCGGGCGAGUCAGGUGCCGAUGGGAGCUGCUGCAGCAUCAUGAGCUGCCAUGAUGCCGGAGGGCGCCGGCGUUACGAGGACUCGGAGUUCACGUUGCACGUGUAUCCCGGCGCUCUGUCCGAGGGCACCAUCUACUGCCCCGUCUCGGCACGGAAGGUGACGUCGGCAGCGGAGGUCAUCGAGCGCGUCAUCGAGCGACUGCAGCUGGACCGCGCGCGCUUCUACGUGCUCGCCGAGGUCAAGGAGUUCGGCGGCGAGGAAUGGAUCCUGAACCCCUGCGACUGUCCCGUACAGCGCAUGAUGCUGUGGCCGCGCAUGGCGCUGGAGAACCGGCUGGCCGGAGACGAUUACCGCUUUCUGCUGCGCGAGAAGGAUCUGGAUGGAUCCAUCCUCUAUGGAAACCUGCAGAUGUGGCUCCGCGUAACUGAGGAGCGGCGGCGGAUGGUGGAGCGUGGACUCCUCCCGCAGCCUCCGUACGUCGACGAUCUCUGCGCGCUGCCUGAUCUAAACGAACGCACUUUGCUGGAGAACUUGCGUGGACGCUUUCGGCAGGAGAAGAUUUACACGUACGUCGGCGGGAUCCUGAUCGUCGUCAACCCCUUCAAGUUCCUGCCCAUCUAUAACCCCAAAUACGUUAAGAUGUACGAUAAGCAGCGGCUGGGGAAGCUGGAGCCGCACAUUUACGCGGUGGCUGACGCGGCGUAUCACGCCAUGCUGCAGAGGAGGAGGAACCAGUGCAUCGUGAUCUCGGGAGAGAGCGGAUCAGGAAAGACGCAGAGCACCAACUUCCUCAUCCACCACCUGACAGCGCUCAGCCAGAAGGGCUUUGCCAGCGGCGUGGAGCAGAUCAUCCUCGGGGCCGGACCUGUGCUGGAGGCUUUUGGAAAUGCCAAAACGGCCCAUAACAAUAAUUCCAGCCGCUUUGGCAAGUUUAUUCAAGUCAACUAUCAGGAGAGCGGGACUGUGAGAGGAGCUUAUGUGGAGAAGUAUCUUCUGGAAAAAUCCCGACUGGUUUAUCAGGAGCACAAUGAGAGGAACUAUCAUGUGUUUUACUACCUGCUGGCUGGAGCGAGUGAAGAAGAAAGAAAAACAUUUCACCUCCUUAAACCAGAGGAGUAUCAUUACCUGAACCAGAUAACAAAGAAAGUCCACAGACAGCACUGGGGAAAUUACUGUGAGACCGAGCUGGACUGUUUCACGGUGGAGGGUGAAGACCUGAAGCAUGACUUUGAGCGACUGCAGCUGGCCAUGGAGAUGGUGGGCUUCCUGCCGACCACCAGAAAACAAAUCUUUUCUUUACUGUCUGCGAUUCUUCUCCUGGGAAAUAUCCGUUACAAGAAGAAGACGUUCAGAGACGACUCCAUCGAUAUCAGCAACCCGGAGGUGCUUCCUAUCGUCUCUGAACUGCUGGAGGUGAAGGAGGAGAUGCUUUUCGAGGCUCUGACCACACGAAAGACGGUGACGGUGGGCGAGAGGUUGAUCGUGCCGUACAAACUGGCCGAGGCGGGGACGGUGAGGGACUCGAUGGCCAAAUCUCUGUACGGCGCUUUGUUCGACUGGAUCGUCUUCCGCACAAACCACGCACUGCUCUACAACAAAGACCUGGAGGAUUCAGACAAGAUCCUGUCCAUCGGUGUGCUAGACAUCUUUGGCUUUGAGGACUACGAGAACAACAGCUUCGAGCAGUUCUGCAUCAACUUCGCCAACGAGACGCUGCAGCAUUACUUCAACCAGCACGUCUUCAAGCUGGAGCAGGGUGCCAUUAUUAGUGGCUACACACUGUAUGUAUACAGUAUAGUGUGUAUGCAUGUGCUGUCUAUGACAUGUCUGUUGUGUCUGCAGGACUUCAGGGAGAAGAACACGGAUCACAUGCGUCCAGAUAUCGUGGCUCUGCUGAAGAGCAGCCGGAACGCUUUCAUCUGUGGCCUGAUGGGAAUCGAUCCGGUGGCCACCUUCCGCUGGGCCGUGAUCCGGGCUUAUUUCCGAGCACACGUCGCCUUCAGAGAGGCCGGGAAACGGCACAAGGAGAAGAAGACGACGAAGACGAGCGGUGAGAAACAUGUGGACAGCUUCAGUUUCCUGCAUCAUCCUGUUCACCAGCGGAGCCUUGAGAUCCUGCAGCGAUGCAAAGAUGACAAAUACAGUAAGAUGACAGAAAUAACACACUUCAGCAGAUCUACAGUCAUCCAAAACAAUGUUAUUAAGGAGGGCAUCUUCGUGAACUCGGGGGAUAAUAAGCUGCUGGAGCGAGCGCAGGGCAUCCUGAUUCCUGUCCCGUGUGUGACGCAGGUGUCUCUGAAUAAGCUGAUGGAGACUCUGGGACAGUCGGAGCCGUACUUUGUGAAAUGCAUCCGCUCUAAUGCGGAGAAGCUUCCUCUGCGUUUCAGCGACGUGCUGGUGUUGAGACAGUUACGCUACACCGGGAUGCUGGAGACGGUGAGGAUACGCCGCUCCGGAUACAGCGUCAAAUACAGCUUCCAGGAUUUUGCCCAUCAUUUCCGUGUGCUGUUACCUGCGGGCUUUCACUCCUCACAGACGGGGAUCAGACAGUUCCUGCAGAGCGUCGACCUCGAGCCCAACGGACAUCAAGUGGGCAGAAGCACGGUGUUCCUGCGGGAGCGUCUGCGGCAGCGUCUGCAGGAGCAGCUUCAUCAGGAGGUGUUGAGGAGGAUCGUGUGUCUGCAGAGGAGCUUCAGGACGCAGCAGGAGAGGAGACGCUUCUGCAGACAGAGACGAGCCGCUACACUCAUACAGCGCUGGUGGAGGGCGUGUGUGACUCGCGCUGACGCAGAGCUCCAGCAGGGGGCGGCGGUGUGUCUGCAGGCGGCCUGGAGAGGCUUCAGAGAGCGCCAGCUGUUCCAGCGGCGGAGGAGAGCGGCGCUGAUCAUCCAGACGAGCUGGAGGAGAGUCCUGCAGACACGACACUCGGCCGCGUGCCUCAUACAGUCCUCCUGGAGGAGCCUCAGACAGAGACGCCGCUUCCUGCAGCAGCGCCGCGCCGCCGUCACGCUACAGGCCGCCUGCAGGGGGCAGCGCGAGCGCCAGAGGUCAGUUAACACCUGCACCAAUGCCUUGGCCAGAUGCUUUUAUGUCAUAAAUGUAUGUUGUUUUUUCCCAAGGUGCCACAUUCUUCGAGAGCAGCGACGUGGAGAGAAAAGCCUCUGUGAAAACACUGUGAGCAAAAGUUUACACGCCCAACAAAACCCAACCGAAGUCCAAGAGGAGAAAGGAGAAACUCAGCCGGCCGAAGCUCCCAGAAGCGUAGACGACAGCACGCUGAAGAGCCGCUCCAAACGUGAAAGCAGGAGACAGCGGGAGCUCCAGCAAGCCACCUUCAGUCUAGAGCUGCUCAAAGUGCGCUCCGCUUCAGUGGACGACGCGCUUCCCGCUCAGAUCCCGCUCUGCACACAUCUUCCCUCGGAGAGCCAAGACAGCUGCGAGCUCCUCGGCGAGCCCGAAGCUCGAGAGCUUUACGUGAGACACCCAUCAGCCAGAAACGAAACCAGAACCAGAUCUGAUAACUGUUUUGUUUCCCAUCUCAAGUCGUCUCAGAAAGAGCAGAAGAGGAUCCAGAAGACCAUGUCGUCAGGGGACCUUGGGAAAAUGGAUUCGCUCAGGAAGUCAAUCUCCCAAACCGACAGCAGGUCAGAUGGGAUUCAGUCCUUCUUUGACAACACUGGCCCCGUCUACAAUGGUUUCUCUCUCGCAGACUCUCCUCAGGGAAGCCGUGAGCCGUCGGAGCGCGGACGCGACAGCAAGGAGAACCGUGAGCCGAUGAUGGGCAUGAUGUCGAUGAAGAGGAGACGCAGUGUGAAGAUCAGUAGCGUGUCUCUAGAAUCGUCCGCCUGGCAGAACGACUCGCUGCACAUCCUCACCAGCACUGCAGACUAUCGCAGCAUGAACGACUUCCUCAUGAAGAAGAUCAGCGAUCUAGAAGCUGAAGACAGUCAGAAGGACACACCUGUGGAUGUGGUUUUCAAGAAGGCGCUGAAAGAAUUUCGCCUCAACAUCUUCAACUCGUACUCUACUGCUCUGGCCAUGGAUGAUGGCAGGAGCAUUCGUUAUAAAGAUCUCCACGCUCUGUUUGAACACAUCUUAGAGAAGAACAUGCGUCUGGAGCAGAGAGACUGGAGCGAGUCGCCGGUUAAAGUCUGGGUCAACACCUUCAAAGUCUUCCUUGAUGAGUUCAUGAUGGAAUACAAGCCAAUGAAUGGAACCAUCAGCAAGGCUCCUAAACCUGAGAGGAAGAAGAGGAGGAAAAAGGAAUCAGACACCGUGGAAGAGCACAUGGGUCACAUCUUUAAAUCCACUCAGUACAGCAUCCCGACCUACUGCGAGUUCUGUUCGUCUCUCAUCUGGAUGAUGGACAAAGCGUGUGUCUGCAAACUCUGUCGCUAUGCAUGUCACAGGAAGUGCUGUCUGAGGAUGACCACCACAUGCAGUAAGAAGUUUGACCCCGAGCUGUCUUCACGGCAGUUUGGAGUAGAGUUGUCUCGUUUAACGAGCGAUGAGAGAGCCGUCCCCCUGGUGGUGGAGAAGCUGAUCAACUACAUCGAGAUGCACGGCCUGUACACCGAGGGCAUCUACAGGAAGUCUGGAUCCACCAAUAAAAUCAAAGAACUCAAGCAGGGGCUGGACACCGAUGCGAACAGCGUGAAUUUAGAUGACUACAACAUCCAUGUGAUCGCCAGCGUGCUGAAGCAGUGGCUGCGUGACCUUCCCAACCCCCUCAUGACCUUUGAACUCUACGAGGAGUUUCUCAGGGCUAUGGGUCUGCAGGAUAAGCGUGAGGUGGUUCAGGGGGUUUAUUCGGUCAUCGAUCAGCUCAGCCGGACUCACCUGAGCACACUGGAGAGACUCAUAUUCCACCUGGUCCGGAUCUCAUUCCAGGAGGAGACGAACCGCAUGUCUUCAAACGCACUGGCCAUCGUGUUUGCACCGUGCAUACUGCGCUGUCCCGACACCACCGACGUAAUUGAAACUUUAUAUCUCACAAUUCAGGAACUGAUCAUCUGCGAGCAGAUGAGGAAAUAUAAAGCCCGUCUGAAGGAUAUCAACACACUGGAGUUUGCCGAGAACAAAGCCAAGAGUCGUCUGACGCACAUCCGGAGAUCUAUGGUGAGAGAUACGACCCUCUCAGAGCCCCAGACUGACCCUAGACCUGUUUUUAAAAACAAACUGACCUUUGAGAUGCUGGCUCUGGAUCCCAGAGCGUCGGAUGACGAGAUGCUGGAGUCGGAAGCGUCCAUCGGAACUGCAGACAGCUCGGAAAACCUCAUGGAGUCGGAAGAAAAAAGCCCCGGGGCGUCAUCUGCGACACGCUGGAGGAAGUCCGAGUCCAAAAGCAGACGCGGUUUACGCCGUCAGCCUGAAUCUCUGGACUCUGUGGACUCGGCCGUAGCCUCGCUGUCCUCCGUGUCGUCCACGCCUCACUAUCGCUUUCGCUCGUCCUCUUCUGGGCCGCUGUUUUCGUCAGCCUCUCCUGGGGACUUGCACAUCCUCCCCGACCAGGAGGGCUCCGGACAGGCUUCCCUGACCACUCGAUGUGCCUCCAGCUGCGAGAAAACCCCUCCCCGGCCCAGAGGGAACCGAAGCUGCCCGCCAAAAACCCGCGAGCCGGGAGAAAGCAGCGGCGGCGGCCGGAGGAGAGAGCAUGACUUCGGUUCUUCUCAGCCUUUGGUGCUGUAUGGGAGUAAUGAAUUUAUGGUGUGA
ensembl:lncRNA